AUGUCAAUUUUCAGAUACAGAAUCACAACAUAUCAGUCUCUCCUCAUCCGAGUCUCACAGUCUUGUUCUUGCAAAAAACCUGCAACAAUGGCACAAUUUGGCCACCUGAUGGCAGUGUUGAGCCUAUGCCUCCUGGCCGCUGUGGUGAACUGUCAACAGGACCCCCCCCCACCUCCUCGUCUGGGACAAGAGAUCUGCACACACUACACUCAGGGUGGGACCCUUCUUCUGGAUGGGCCAAAGGUCUUUGAAAUGAUGCUGAUUGAGUUUGGACGGGCAAUCCAGACCCUGAACCCUAUGGUGACUCAACAGUGGAUGGAUGAAGUAGAUGACGAUCACGACAAACGCCUCAACAUGGCGGAGUGUGCCAAACUCGUCCAGAGAGUCUCUGAUUCCAUCCAGAGGCCUCCACAGUAAAGAAGUCUCGUCGACUGAUUGAAGUAACUUGUACUUGUGUACGGAGUACAGUAUAUGAAGAAAAAAAAUAUGAUUUCACAGAAACUUAGUAUGUAGGUCUGUAGCUUAAUCUCAUACAAUAAAUACUAUAAUGAAGGCUAUCAAUCAUAAUCUAAAUAAAGCUAUGUAUUGUUUUAUAAAUUUCUUUAAAACCAGGAAUUAAAGAAUCUUAGUCAAAAAUGAAGAAAUAAAAUGGUCAAAAACACAGCUGUGGUGUCCAUUUUUGUGCUUUUGUACACUGUGUUUAUUCAAGUUUAUUUUAUUAACUAUACUUAAGUAAAGUUCAUGUAUAGUUUUAAGUAUACUUUAUGUAGCAGGUAUACAAAUAUCAGCAUUAUAGUAUACUUGUAAGUGUUCUGUUUCAAUACUCCUUGGGACUAAAUUGGCCCACUUUCUAGUAUAUAAAAGUAUACUUUUUAGUAUACUUCAAGUAUAACAGUAGGAAACUUUGAGUUAGUUUGAGUUGAACUAGUUUACCUUUAUGUCUGUAAUUUGUACUGCAAUUAUAGGCUACUAAAAGUGAACAUAUAUGUAUAGCCUACUGAUAGUUUACUUGUAAAAUACUUUGUACACUUUGAAGUACAGUUUCAGUAAAAUACUAGUUUAGUAGUUUUAUACUGCAAGUAUACUCAUAAAGCUGCAGUAGGGAACUUUUGACGCUCUAGCGGUUAAUAAACAGAACUGCUUGCGUCUUGCGGAAGAACAUUGUAGCCGGAGCUACUUCUCUCUGUUUAUGUCUAUGAAGAAUCACAAAGGUACUGGGUUACUCUGCCGCGGUAUCCCCGAAGCAAUCUAAAAUAUUCUGAAUAUAAACACUUAUUAUAGGUGUACCCUAGUGAUUCAGGACAAGCUAAAAACACGGUUUGGAAAAUGGAUUCAUGGUGUACUCGCUUAUUAUAUACAUUUUUCUACAUUUUGAACACAAACAAAGUUAUGGACCGCAGUUCUGAUUGGUUGUUUUUUACCGGGAGCGAUGGAGUUUCUGCAAAUGGCAAUAGGACCGCUGGGAGGAGCCAGAGGAGCUUGAUUUUUUUCACAGAUUAUCUGUCUCAUAUUCUACUGUCAGGACAUAAUGACAGGUUUAACAAACAUGUAAAAAAUAUUUUUUUUUACAAAAGUUCCCUACAGCACCUUUAAGUGAACUUUACAUCAUACUUUAAGAAUUAGGUUUUAAAAAACAUUUUAUUCUAGCUUUAUGCAUU
rnacentral:lncRNA from 1 species